UUACUGCGAAGGGGGGACGGAGAAGGCUAUGUUGGCCGGGCGACGGUUGUCCCGGUUUAAGCGUGUAGGCUGGUUUUCCAGGCAAAUCCGGAAAACCAAGGCUGAGGCGUGAUGACGAGGCACUACGGUGCUGAAGCGACAAAUGCCCUGCUUCCAGGAAAAGCCUCUAAGCAUCAGGUAACAUCAAAUCGUACCCCAAACCGACACAGGUGGUCAGGUAGAGAAUACCAAGGCGCUUGAGAGAACUCGGGUGAAGGAACUAGGCAAAAUGGUGCCGUAACUUCGGGAGAAGGCACGCUGAUAUGUAGGUGAAGCGACUUGCUCGUGGAGCUGAAAUCAGUCGAAGAUACCAGCUGGCUGCAACUGUUUAUUAAAAACACAGCACUGUGCAAACACGAAAGUGGACGUAUACGGUGUGACGCCUGCCCGGUGCCGGAAGGUUAAUUGAUGGGGUUAGCGGUAACGCGAAGCUCUUGAUCGAAGCCCCGGUAAACGGCGGCCGUAACUAUAACGGUCCUAAGGUAGCGAAAUUCCUUGUCGGGUAAGUUCCGACCUGCACGAAUGGCGUAAUGAUGGCCAGGCUGUCUCCACCCGAGACUCAGUGAAAUUGAACUCGCUGUGAAGAUGCAGUGUACCCGCGGCAAGACGGAAAGACCCCGUGAACCUUUACUAUAGCUUGACACUGAACAUUGAGCCUUGAUGUGUAGGAUAGGUGGGAGGCUUUGAAGUGUGGACGCCAGUCUGCAUGGAGCCGACCUUGAAAUACCACCCUUUAAUGUUUGAUGUUCUAACGUUGGCCCGUAAUCCGGGUUGCGGACAGUGUCUGGUGGGUAGUUUGACUGGGGCGGUCUCCUCCUAAAGAGUAACGGAGGAGCACGAAGGUUGGCUAAUCCUGGUCGGACAUCAGGAGGUUAGUGCAAUGGCAUAAGCCAGCUUGACUGCGAGCGUGACGGCGCGAGCAGGUGCGAAAGCAGGUCAUAGUGAUCCGGUGGUUCUGAAUGGAAGGGCCAUCGCUCAACGGAUAAAAGGUACUCCGGGGAUAACAGGCUGAUACCGCCCAAGAGUUCAUAUCGACGGCGGUGUUUGGCACCUCGAUGUCGGCUCAUCACAUCCUGGGGCUGAAGUAGGUCCCAAGGGUAUGGCUGUUCGCCAUUUAAAGUGGUACGCGAGCUGGGUUUAGAACGUCGUGAGACAGUUCGGUCCCUAUCUGCCGUGGGCGCUGGAGAACUGAGGGGGGCUGCUCCUAGUACGAGAGGACCGGAGUGGACGCAUCACUGGUGUUCGGGUUGUCAUGCCAAUGGCACUGCCCGGUAGCUAAAUGCGGAAGAGAUAAGUGCUGAAAGCAUCUAAGCACGAAACUUGC
rnacentral:rRNA from 1 species